GCCCAGGUGGCGGAAUAGGUAGACGCAAGGGACUUAAAAUCCCUCGGUUGUUAAAGACCGUGCUGGUUCAAGUCCAGUUCUGGGCA
rnacentral:tRNA from 1 species